UACGGAGGGUGCAAGCGUUAUUCGGAAUCAUUGGGCGUAAAGGGCGCGUAGGCGGCUAGGCAAGUCAGGGGUGAAAUCCCUCGGCUCAACCGAGGAAUUGCCUCUGAAACUGCCCAGCUCGAGGCCGGGAGAGGGUAGUGGAAUUCCCAGUGUAGCGGUGAAAUGCGUAGAUAUUGGGAGGAACACCAGUGGCGAAGGCGGCUACCUGGACCGGUUCUGACGCUGAGUCGCGAGAGCGUGGAGAGCAAACAGG
rnacentral:rRNA from 1 species